ensembl:lncRNA
GAUGGAUGUGGGGCGGCCAAAGCCAACGUCUGAUAGAUGUGGGGCAGCCAAAGCCAACGUCCGGUAGAUGUGGGGCAGCCAAACCAACGUCUGAUGGAUGUGGGGCGGCCAAAGUCAACCUCUGAUAGAUGUGGGGCGGCCAAACCAAUGUCUGAUGGAUGUGGGGCGGCCAAACCAACGUCCGGUAGAUGUGGGGCAGCCAAACCAACGGCUGAUGGAUGUGGGGCAGCCAAAGCCAACGUCCGGUAGAUGUGGGGCAGCCAAACCAACGGCUGAUGGAUGUGGGGCAGCAAAAGCCAACGUCCGGUAGAUGUGGGGCAGCCAAACCAACGGCUGAUGGAUGUGGGGCAGCCAAAGCCAACGUCCGGUAGAUGUGGGGCAGCCAAACCAACGUCUGAUGGAUGUGGGGCGGCCAAAGUCAACCUCUGAUGGAUGUGGGGCGGCCAAAGCGAACGUCCGAUGGAUGUGGGGCAGCCAAACCAACGUCCGAUGGAUGUGGGGCAGCCAAAGCCAAUAUCCCAACGGAUGUGGGGCAGCCAAACCAACGUCUGAUAGAUGUGGGGCGGCCAAACCAACGUCUGAUAGAUGUGGGGCAGCCAAAGCCAAUAUCCUAAUGGAUGUGGGGCAGCCAAACCAACGUCCGAUGGAUGUGGGGCGGCCAAAGCCAACCUCUGAUAGAUAUGGGGCGGCCAAAGCCAACGUCCGGUAGAUGUGGGGCAGCCAAACCAACGUCUGAUAGAUGUGGGGCGGCCAAAGCCAAUAUCCCAACGGAUGUGGGGCAGCCAAAGCCAACGUCUGAUGGAUGUGGGGCGGCCAAAGCCAACAUCCGGUAGAUGUGGGGCAGCCAAAGCCAACGUCCGGUAGAUGUGGGGCAGCCAAACCAACGUCCGAUGGAUGUGGGGCGGCCAAAGUCAACCUCUGAUGGAUGUGGGGCAGCAAAAGCCAAUGUCCGAUGGCUGUGGG